rnacentral:lncRNA from 1 species
UUUGCAGACUCACUCAGGAAGCUUUUCCAAACCCCUCUGCUAGGGGGUCGGGGGGGGGGACCCACGGGCUCGGGGCGGGGGGCGCGAAAGGCCGCGGAAGCUCGCCCCGCCCGGGACCCAGGACCCCGGCUGCCCCGCCUGUCCCUCCAGCGGCUCCGCCUCCGGCCCGGGCCUCGCCCUCGGCCUGGGCGGGGUCGCGCCCCCUCGGGGCGGGUCGGGGAGGCUGGGCGCGGCCGCCCCACCGGAAAGACUCGUUCCAGCCCGAGCGGGCGGAGGCCCGGCGGAAACAGACCCGCCGCCCCCCGCGGGACCCCUGCCCCCCGCCCCCCGCGCUGCCCCCCGCGCUGCCCUGCCCCCCCGCGCUGCCCUGACCCCGCUCCCCUGCGCUGCCCCCGCCCCCCGCGGGCCCCCUGCCCCUGCCCCUGCCCCCUGUCCCCCGCCCCCCGCGCUGCCCCGCCGGGUCGGGGGCGGACGGCGGCCCGCAGCUGCGGCCGCCCGGGGUCCCCCCUUCCCGCGCCGGCCCCGCCCCCGGCCGCGCCCCCGGGCCCCACCUGGCCCCCUCCUCGCGCCCCCGGGCAGGACCCGGGCGGGGCCUGGGCGGGGGAGGGGACCGAGGCGGCCCCCGCGGGGAGGGCCCGGCCGAGCCGCGACCCGUUGCCUAGAAACCGGACCCCGCCUCGGGCCCCGCGCAGCUGCCUCUGCCCCCCCCCGCCCCCCGCCCCCACCUGCCCCGGGGCGUCGGGAAGGGCUGCGGCAGCCGCGGCGCUCCGGCGACCCCAGGCGGAGACGGCGACCUGGGACGGCGGCCGCGCCUCUGGGGUCGGGAGACUGGGGGGGCCCGGACGCCGCCCCCUGGACCCGCCUCUGGGGGCCGCGACCUGCCACCGGGCGCUGGUGCGGAGCCGAGCCCAGGGUGCGGGCCGCGGGCGGGUCUGGGGCUGCGCGGUGUCCCCGGCUCUGCCCCGGUGGGUGUCAAGGCCCCGGGGGGAGUGGGGAGCCCCUGCCCAGGCUGCAGCCCCGCCGACCGCGCCCCCAGGCACUGCCCCCCGCACCGCAGAACAGGGGCCGGUCGUGACCCGGAGGAGGGCACCCCCGGGUCUCCGUCCGCGGCCUCCCUGGGGCCACAGGACGCAGGAUGGGGCGUCCAGGCGGCUCGCGGGCCCUCCCCGAAAACGGAAACCUUCCCCCCCCCCCCCCGCCCCCGCCCCGCCCCAGGGCGCGCGGGCGGCUGUCUCUGCUCACCUGCCCGGAGCUCUCUGGGAUUGUGGCAGGAGAGGAGCACCGAGGGCAAGUACCACCGUCUGGGAAACACCCACAGGGGCCACGGGCAAGUGCGAGCAAGUGCAGCUUGGUCGCGGGCCUGGCUUGAGUGGGAAGCCAGAUGGAGACCGGUUAGGGGAAAGGCAGCCCCAAGCACAGGCCUCUGCACCAGGAGAGGGGAGGGGAGGGCAAGCCUGUUCCACCUGGAAUCUCCUGUGA